UGUGCUCAGGCUGCUCUCAGCUUCCAGAGGGAUGCGGGAUGUGCUCAGGCUGCUCUCAGCUUCCAGAGGGAUGCGGGAUGUGCUCAGGCUGCUCUCACAGCUUCCAGAGGGAUGCGGGAUGUGCUCAGGCUGCUCUCAGCUUCCAGAGGGAUGCGGGAUGUGCUCAGGCUGCUCUCACAGCUUCCAGAGGGUUCAGGCUGUGCUCAGGCUGCUCUCAGCUUCCAGAGGGAUGCGGGAUGUGCUCAGGCUGCUCUCAGCUUCCAGAGGGAUGCAGGCUGUGCUCAAGCUGAUCUCCCCGGCUUCCAGAGGGAUGCAGGCUGUGCUCAGGCUGCUCUCAGCUUCCAGAGGGAUGCAGGCUGUGCUUAGGCUGCUCUCCCAGGUUCCAGAGGGAUGCAGGCUCUGCCCAGGCUCUCUCAGUUUCCAGAGGGAUGCAGGCGCUGCUCAGGAUGCUCUCCCAGCUUCCAGAGGGAUGCAGGCUGUGCCCAGGCUCUCCCAGGUUUCCAGAGGGAUGUGAGCUGUGCUCAGGAUGCUCUCCCAGGUUCCAGAGGGAUGCAGGCUUUGCUGAGGAUGCCCUCAGCUUCCAGAGGGAUGCAGGCUGUGCCCAGGCUCUCCCAGCUUCCAGAGGGAUGCAGGCUGUGCUCAGGCUGCUCUCCCUGGCUUUAGGGGGAUGCAGGCUGUGCCCAGGCUCUCCCCAUUUCCAGAGGGAUGCAGGCUGUGCUCAGGCUGCUCUCCCCGGCUUUAGGGGGAUGCAGGCUGUGCCCAGGCUCUCCCAGCCCAGGCACGGCUCCCUGUCCCUGUCCC